CAGUACUUUCCAGAAAUUGCUGCAAUACUUUUAAUGUUUCUGUUGGCCUCUUGGCAGCUUCUCCUGAUAUUCUAAUCAAUUUUAGAGGGAAGUUCUGUACUUAGUAGUGUCACUAUUGUGCCAUCUUAUCUCCACUUGUUGAAUAUUGUCUUUAUAGUGUUCCAUGGUAUAUCCAGUGCCUUGGAAUUUUUUUUUAACCCUCUCCUGAGUGAUCUUUUUCAACAGUGGGAUCCAGUACCAGCUUUGUAAGCUGUUUGGCUUUUCCGGUUUGAUGUUACCAAGAAGAUGUCAGGAAAAUCCUAUAGUAACAGCUGUACUUUAUUUGGGGGAUAAGGAGCAUCCACGUGUCCUUAUCCCUGAGCUGUGCAGACUUUUCUAUCAGCUCGGAUGGGUGACAGGAACAGGAGGUGGAAUAAGCCUUAGACAUGGGGACCACAUUUAUAUCGCCCCGUCUGGAGUUCAGAAGGAAAGAAUACAGCCAGAGGACAUGUUUGUGUGUGACAUUGAGGAGCAGGACAUCAGCACCCCUCCUGCAUGCAAGAAACUAAAGAAGAGCCAGUGCACACCGCUGUUCAUGAAUGCGUAUACCAUGAGGGGAGCCCACGCCGUCAUUCAUACACACUCAAAGUCUGCUGUCAUGGCCACUUUGCUGUUUCCUGGCAAGGAGUUUCGCAUCACACACCAAGAGAUGAUCAAGGGGAUUUGCAAAGGAAACUCGGGUUCAAAUUUCAGGUACGACGAGACGUUGGUGGUGCCUAUCAUAGAGAACACACCAGAGGAGAAGGACCUGAAGGAACGCAUGGCCAGAGCUAUGGAGGAGUACCCAGAUUCCUGUGCUGUGCUCGUCAGACGGCAUGGAGUGUACGUGUGGGGAGAGAGCUGGGAAAAAGCCAAGACUAUGUGUGAAUGUUAUGACUACCUGUUUGACAUUGCUGUGCAGAUGAAGCAGUGUGGUUUAGACCCAUCCGCACUUCCCACUGAAGCUAAAGGCAUUAUUUAAUCUGACUCAUUGAUGACGUCUGGAUGACGCUUGCUUUUUCUUUGGAGAAGCAGACAAUGAGGAACACAGUGAAUACUGUUAAUCAGAAAAGAUUCAGUUUUCACCAAUCAGAUAUCAGCUGGCGUGAUGCGUGAUACUUUGUCACAAAUAUUCAGCGACAAGUUGCUCCGUGGAGCCAGUCUUUGUUCUAUUGCCUUCCGGUUUCCACUGCUACCGUUCCCCCAUCCAUUUGAAUGAACAUUAUUCCCGGAGGUGCCAUAACUCGCAGGCUGCCCACGCUGGCUGGAGACUGCUAGGCUCAGCUGAUUCAACCCCACUGUGACUACUCUCAUCCUAUCCUUCCUGAGUGUGGGCAUACCUGCUGAGCAACGGCAAGACAAAUCACCGCCAAUUCCUUCUGGAGUUGUUUAUUCUAGUCUUGUUCAUUCCGGAAAACUCAAAUUCUGGUGUGUAAACACGUGAUGAAAGCUGGCACCUUGGCAUUUAAGGAUAAGGCCAGUGUUGACCAGCUGUUCGAAGCAGUCUGAGAGCAUCACUGAGAGAGCUCUGACCCGUAAUAAUGUGCUGCCAUCCAUGUAUUUGUAAAUGUAGUGACUGAUGAUUUGCUAGUCAGUUUAAAGGCGCAUACAAGUAUGUGUAAUUCACAAUUCAAUAAGUUCACAACAAAUAUUGUUGUUUCUUGACAAUGUGCUGAACAGUGAUGGAUCUGGUUUGGCUAUGUCUCCGAUUUACUGAAGCUUCAUGGUAGCUUUGGCUUUACAGGCUUGUGCAGUAUUGAUUUUUCCUUCCUGGUGAUUUUUUUUUUAUUUUUUUUAUGGUAAAUAAACAAUUUAAUUAUCCAGACCAGAAAACAAGCAUUUCAACCAUUUCAGGUUUAAGGAGGGUACAGAAUGGGUGUAGUAAUAUUACUAGCAGUGCAGUCAGGAACUGCUUGCUGGCAGUGGCAAUAGUGAAAUCUCAGUUGGAUGCUGAUUCUGCAGUAAUUCAAAGUGAACAGACAAAAAACAUAACAGAAUGUUUUCAUUAGAAUCCUUUUGCAAAUUGCAGAUAUUUUCUCAAGUUUGUUGCUCAACACAUUUGAAAUCUGACCAACACAGGAGAGAGAGAG